rnacentral:lncRNA from 1 species
AUGAUGAACGCAAAGGGGAAGAGGAGAGGCACCCAAUAUAUGUUCUCUAGGCCUUUUAGAAAGCAUGGAGUUGUUCCUUUGGCCACGUAUAUGCGAAUUUGUAAGAAAGGUGAUAUUGUAGACAUCAAGGGAAUGGGUACUGUUCAAAAAGGAAUGGACCACAAGGGUUACCGUGGCAAAACUGGAAGAGUCUACAAUGUUACCCAGCAUGCUGUUGGCAUUGUUGUAAACAAACAAGGGCAAGAUUCAUGCCGAGAGAAUUAAUGUGUGCAUUGAGCGCAUUAAGCAUGCUAAGAGCUGAGAUAGCUUCCUGAAAUGUGUGAAGGAAAAUAAUCAGAAACAGAAAGAAGCCAAAGAGAAAGGUACCUGGGUUCAACUGAAGCACCAGCCUGCUCCACCCAGAGAAGCAUGCUUUGUGAGAACCAAUGGGAAGGAGGCUGAGCUGCUGGAAACUCUUCCCUAUGAAUUCAUGGCAUCA